UGAGCUUUUACUCACAGGUAUUGUUUUCCGACAGUUCGUGCUCGUUUCCUAACAACCGUAACACUUUCUAUUAUGGAUUGUUAAUGUUAAGGUAAACAAGCUGAAGCCAAGAGGUCAGCUGGAUGUUCAACCUGAGGAGGAGUAUCUCUGUGUGGGCUAUCGACAUCUCCAGGGGUGAUGAUCGGGUUGGGGGUGGACAGAUGGAGGAAGGAAGCCCCUGUCAGGAGGACUAGGAGGGAGCCCUCUGGCCUGAGCGGGUCAACACCACAGUUUAUGGCAGCAGAACGGAUUAACAAUCUGAGAGGCAAGAAAUCAAGACAAAAAUCUGUCAGCAUAAAGCCACCUCCAGACUGUCAACAUGAGUAACCUCCCCACAGCCUACACACUGACUGUAAACCUCCAACCCCCCCAACAAUCAUGGACGUCAGUGUUAUGCAGACAUUUUAGACACGACAAAGGACUGCCAUUGUCUCUGUGGCAUCAUAACCUGUUUAGCUCCACCGCACCUUAAUGCACAUCAAGGGAAGCGUCUGAAGCAGCUCCAAUCUACUCUGCUUUUUUUUCUUAUUUUUUUUUCGUCUGGUUAUUUUUGGCAAAGCGAGUCAUGGUGGAGAUGGCUAGAGAUGAAGAUAACUGUGAUGAUGAUGAUGAUGAUGAUGAUGAUGACGAUGAUGAUGAUGAUGACGGGGAGGAGGGCAACAGCCACCUCUGUUGACCAUAAACAAAGGGAUACAAGUAACAAUCCAUUCAGCUCCCACAGGGGCCGCACAGUAAUUCACCGCAAAAUAAUGCAAAUGUCCCAUGAAAAAAACCCCGCUAAUUUAUCUGUUAACUACAGACUGUGAAAUAUGUUAUUGGAUUUAUCUAAUCAAUAAAAAUAUCAUGUGUCUAAAGGGAAUUUAAAUGUAUUCAGAUGACUAUUAAACCUUC